rnacentral:rRNA from 1 species
AUGGUAGGCAGGCAGGAGAGUUGGAGACCAAGACCAGGGAGAGGGGCCAAUCCAGGAGGAAGAGGUAAUUUCUAUGGCAGGUCUGAGAAUUUUGGGAGAGGAUUUAAUAGGCAGGAUGAGAGAGAGCAUGAUGGUUAUGGUUGGAGAAACAGAGAGGGAAACUUCAUAGGGACGAAUGGCAGUGGGUCUGGUGGGGAAGGGACCUCGACAGGAAAUGGCAGAGAUGGAGAGAGCAAGCUAGGCAGGUUUGCUUCAGACAGAAAUGGGAACCAGCAAGAGAGAUCUCAAGUUGGGAUGGGUGAGACUGGAUCUGGGAGUGGGUUUGUGGUUAGUAAUCCAAAUAUGCAGCAGAUGGGGAUGUAG